rnacentral:antisense_RNA from 1 species
CCUUGUGGCUACUAUGAAUAAUGCUCUAUGAAUAUUCAUGUAUACGUAUUUGUGUAGACAUGUUUUCUUUUUCUUUUUUCUUUUGAGACAGAGUCUUGCUUUGUUGCCCAGUCGGUAGCCCAGGCUGGAGUGCAGUGGUGUGAUCUCGGCUCACUGCAACCUCUGGCUCCCAGGUUCAACCAGAUCAGGUAAGCCAACGCACUUGAUCUGGACAUUUUUUUUUUUUUUUUUUUUUUUUUGAGAUGGAGUCUCGCCCUGUUGCCUAGACUGGAGUGCAAUGGCAUGAUCCUGGCUCACUGCAACCUCCACCUCCCAGGUUCAAGCGAUUCUCCUGCCUCAGCCUCCUGAGUAGCUGGGAUUACAGGGGCACGCCAUCACGCCCAGAUAAUUUUUGUAUUUUUAGUAGAGACGGGGUUUCACCAUGUUGGUCAGGCUGGUCUCAAACUCCUGACCUCAUGAUCCGCCGGCCGUGGCCUCCCAAAGUGCUGGGAUUACCGGCAUGAGCCACUAUGCCUGGCCAGUAUGUUUUCACUUCUCUUGGGUAUAUAUCUAUUUAGGAGUGGAACUGCAGGGUCAUAUGGAAACUAAACUUUUGAGGACCUGCCAGACUUUUCCAAAGUAGCUGCACCAUGUGAUCCCCUUGUGACUGGUGGGGAGACUGAGGCCCAAAGAGGGAAAUUGUCUCUGCAAAGCAACACAGUGAGUGUGAGAAAGCAGGAGCUAAUCAUGGACAUGACUUCAAUGCCGCGCCUUCUCCUCUGACCGCACUACCAUCUCACUCUCACUCCAGUGCUCUCCAUACCCACUUCUGCCCCUCCAUUCCAUUCCUUGCCCAGCAGCAAAUCCCUUCACACCAGUCCCUACAAAGGCUUCCUGCUGCCACCAUCAGGAUGAAUUUCCACCUCUGAGGGAUGACUUAUAAGCUCCUCUGCCAUCUGGCCUUAGUGCUGCCUCCUCAUUUUGUUUUCUGAAGCAGUUUUAGUGAGCUAUAAUUCGCACCCCACCCCAUUCACCCAUUUUAAGUGUACAAUCCAAAUGUUUAUCAGUGUCCUUUCAUAUUCUACAUUGCAGGGUCAUGCAGGUCUUGCUUCAGUUCCAUGAAAACACCAACAUCUUUGCUUCUGAGACUUUGCACACACCGUUGCCUCUGUUUGGAACAGUCUGUAUAUUUUUUUCUAGCAAGUUCCUCAUGAUCUUUCACAUCUUAGUUGAGAUGUUUCUGCUGGGAUCCUUCCCUGAGCAUUCGGGUUGAUUGAAUGACCUGCAGGAUGUUCCUACGGCCUCCCUAGGAUGGUCCCUGUCACAGCAUGUACUAUAGUAGUCUGAGUUUUUUGUUGUUGUUUUUUUUUUGAGACGGAGUCUCACCCUAUCGCCCAGGCUGGAGUGCAGUGGCACAAUCUCCGCUCACUGCAAGCUCCGCCUCCUGGGUUCACGCCAUUCUCCUGCCUCAGCCUCCAAAGUAGCUAGGCCUACAGGCACCUGCCACCACGCCUGGCUAAUUUUUUGUAUUUUUUAGUGGAGACGGGGUUUCACAGUGUUAGCCAGGUUGGUCUAGUAGUCUGAGUUUUUAAGGUCUGUGACUGUGUCUUGUUCACAUGCAGUGCCUGGCAACACUCAACUCACUAUUGGUUGAAUGAACAGAAAGAUCUGAAAAUAUCUAGCAUGGCCCUGAGCACACUGUAGAAAUCCUGCCAAUGUUUGCAGACCACAAUUACCUCCAAGGACAGGGACACCACCUCCUGUUGGGAACAUUCCAGAUGGUUUGGAUGAUUAAAGGUAAGAUAUUUUUUGUUUGGUACCCAUGCCACUUCUUCAGGCAACAGCAUCCCAGUUUUCCUUUGGGGAAUCACUCCUAUUAUACCUUCAGCUCUUAUAGCUUAUUUAUGAGAACUAAGCAGUUCCUGGAAUUUGCACUUGACCCAAGGCAGAUUAGUUAAGAUGCAAUCCUAACUUUUGCUAGAUUUUUUAAAAAGGGGUGCUUUCUUUUCACUAGGAUUACUAAUCUCGUGCCUCUAUAAGAAAACUAACUGCCUAAGAAGUAGACUUGAGAAAGCAACUGAGUCCUGAUGAUAUCAUGAGAGGCCCUGGACCCAGCUGUCCCUGAAGCCAACCACCGGACAUUUUAGUUAUUGAGUCAAUUUCCAUUCCUUUUUAAUUGCUUGAGUUCAGCUUGUCACCUGCAACUGCAAUAUUCCUAAUCCAGUUAGUAACCCUCUUUCACAUACACACAUACCCAUCACACACCUUACAGACCAAACAGAGGAAUCAAGCUGACUUUUGUCCCUAAGCACGGGUUUACCUACUCACCUCAAAUCUAAAUUGUAUUUUUCUGAGUUGUGUUGUGCAGCUGACUGUCAAUAUUUAGCUUUCCUUGUAUGGUACUUUCUAUACCAAGCUUGUCUGGCCUGAAGGCUGCAUGCGGCCCAAGACAGCUUGGUAUGGGACCCAACACAAAUUCAUAAACUUUCUUAAAACAUUGUUUUUUGUUUGUUUUGUAGCUUAUCAGCUAUCGUUAGUGUUAGUGUAUUUUAUGUGUGGCCCAAGACAAUUCUUCUUCCAGUGUGGCCCAGGGAGGCCAAAGGAUUGGACACCCCUGUUCUAUUCCAUGAUCAGCAAGUAGACAUUUGCGGUGUCCUAAAUGGUAUCAGGUGAUAAGUCAAGGUGGAUGGAAGAGAUGCAAUUCUCAUUUAUAGCCUGGCCCAAAUUGAACUCCAAGAAACACACACAAUAAGCACUGCUCCCUAAGCCUGUGCGCUGUUCUGGAAAGAGCCUACCAAAACAACCUUGGCUUUUCCUUUUGACUCGCUGAUGCCAAGGACAGGUCUGUGCAUUUACUACUAGUACAAUGGGACAGAAAAGUCUCACACACAUUUUUUUAUUUUUAUUUUUUGAGAUGGAGUUUCACUCUUGUUGCCCAGGCUGGAGUGCAGUGGCACGAUCUCGGCUCACUGCAACCUCCGCCUCCCAGGUUCAAGUGAUUCUCCUGCCUCAGCCUCCAGAGUAACUGGGAUUACAGCUGCACACCACCACGCCUGGCUAAUUUUUGUAUAUUUAGUAGAGACGGGGUUUCACCAUGGUGACCAGGCUGGUCACACACAUUUUAACCACCCAUCUUUGCUACAAGGGAAAAAGGUCAAACCUUGUGUGGGUGAAGAGGCAGACUCAAAUGCUCCCGAUGCAGAGGAACGAGGCGACUACCACUCAGUCACCAAUUACCAUUUGCAUGCUACCCAACCUGGACCUUUCCAGGGCAUACUGGGCCACUCCCCACUUCCUUGGGGUGCAAUGAAUUGCAGACAGUUUAAUCCAUGGGCUUUUGCUGAUUCUGUUUUCUCUGCUUGGAAUGCCCUUCUACACAGAGGAAGCCUUUCAAGACCCAGGUCAAAGGUUAGCUCCCCUGUGAACACUUGUUCCUUUUCUAUCUGGUAUAAGCAGCCAUUUUAACUAUCGUUAAAGGUCAGGGUUUCUUAACUUGGGUCUGCGGGUCAUUAUGAAUAAGCUUUAGAGGGACAUGUCUGUGUCUAUGCCCACAUAUAUUACUCUGGAGGCCAGGGUCAGAGAUUCCAGAUUCUCAGAUUCGGUGACCUCAAAAAAAGGUCUCUUUUAGCCAGGCACAGUGGCUCAUGCCUGUAAUCCCAGCACUUUGGGAGGCUGAGGCAGGAGGAUGGCUUGAGCUCACAAGUUCAAGACCAGUCUGGGCAACAUGGCAAGGUAUCAUCUCUAAAAAAAUAAUAAAAAAUUUUAAAAAGC